rnacentral:rRNA from 1 species
UGUGUAGGUGGCUGAGCAAGUCGUUGAUGAAAUACCGAGGCUCACCCUCGGAACUGUCUUCGAAACUGCUCAGCUUGAGGAUAGUUGAGGAGAACGGAAUUCCCGGUGGAGCGGUGAAAUGCGUAGAUAUCGGGAGGAACACCAGAGGCGAAGGCGGUUCUCUGGGCUAUUCCUGACACUGAAACACGAAAGCUAGGGGAGCAAACG